rnacentral:rRNA from 1 species
AGAGCGAACGCUGGCGGCAGGCUUAACACAUGCAAGUCGAGCGGGCGUAGCAAUACGUCAGCGGCAGACGGGUGAGUAACGCGUGGGAACAUACCUUUUGGUUCGGAACAACACAGGGAAACUUGUGCUAAUACCGGAUAAGCCCUUACGGGGAAAGAUUUAUCGCCGAAAGAUUGGCCCGCGUCUGAUUAGCUAGUUGGUGAGGUAACGGCUCACCAAGGCGACGAUCAGUAGCUGGUCUGAGAGGAUGAUCAGCCACAUUGGGACUGAGACACGGCCCAAACUCCUACGGGAGGCAGCAGUGGGAAUAUUGGACAAUGGGCGCAAGCCUGAUCCAGCCAUGCCGCGUGAGUGAUGAAGGCCCUAGGUUGUAAAGCUCUUUUGUGCGGGAAGAUAAUGACGGUACCGCAAGAAUAAGCUCCGGCUAACUUCGCGCCAGCAGCCGC